UACGUAGGGGGCAAGCGGUUGUCCGGAUUUACUGGGCGUAAAGAGCGUGUAGGCGGCCAAGCAGGUCCGUUGUGAAAACUGGAGGCUUAACCUCCAGACGUCGACGGAAACCGCGUGGCUAGAGUCCGGAAGAGGAGAGUGGAAUUCCUGGUGUAGCGGUGAAAUGCGCAGAUAUCAGGAAGAACACCAAUGGCGAAGGCAGCUCUCUGGGACGGUACUGACGCUGAGACGCGAAAGCGUGGGGAGCGAACAGG
rnacentral:rRNA from 1 species